rnacentral:rRNA from 1 species
GUUGAGGACCACUGCUCUAAAGGCACCAGAUCCCAUCUAAUCCUGAAAGCUAAGUAGGAUCAACUCUGGUUAGUAUUUGGAUGUGAGACCACCAGUGAAUACCAGGUGCUUUAGGCA